rnacentral:rRNA from 1 species
UCGCAUGGGCUAAUACCCUGUGCGGAUGACGGUACCGGCAUAAGAAGCACCGGCUAACUACGUGCCAGCAGCCGCGGUAAUACGUAGGGUGCGAGCGUUAAUCGGAAUUACUGGGCGUAAAGCGUGCGCAGGCGGUUUGUUAAGAUAGGCGUGAAAUCCCCGGGCUCAACCUGGGAACUGCGCUUAUGACUGGCAAGCUAGAGUACGGCAGAGGGGGGUGGAAUUCCACGUGUAGCAGUGAAAUGCGUAGAGAUGUGGAGGAACACCAAUGGCGAAGGCAGCCCCCUGGGUCGAUACUGACGCUCAUGCACGAAAGCGUGGGUAGCAAACAGGAUUAGAUACCCUGGUAGUCCACGCCCUAAACGAUGUCAACUAGGUGUUGGAAGGGUAAAACCUUUUAGUACCGGAGCUAACGCGUGAAGUUGACCGCCUGGGGAGUACGGCCGCAAGGUUAAAACUCAAAGGAAUUGACGGGGACCCGCACAAGCGGUGGAUGAUGUGGAUUAAUUCGAUGCAACGCGAAAAACCUUACCUACCCUUGACAUGUCCAGAAGCCUGAAGAGAUUUAGGUGUGCCCGAAAGGGAACUGGAACACAGGUGCUGCAUGGCUGUCGUCAGCUCGUGUCGUGAGAUGUUGGGUUAAGUCCCGCAACGAGCGCAACCCUUGUCGUUAAUUGCCAUCAUUUGGUUGGGCACUUUAACGAGACUGCCGGUGACAAACCGGAGGAAGGUGGGGAUGACGUCAAGUCCUCAUGGCCCUUAUGGGUAGGGCUUCACACGUCAUACAAUGGUCGGUACAAAGGGUUGCCAAGCCGCGAGGUGGAGCUAAUCCCAGAAAGCCGAUCGUAGUCCGGAUUGCAGGCUGCAACUCGCCUGCAUGAAGUCGGAAUCGCUAGUAAUCGUGGAUCAGCAUGUCACGGUGAAUACGUUCCCGGGUCUUGUACACACCGCCCGUCACACCAUGGGAGCGGGUUCCGCCAGAAGUAGGUAGCCUAACCGCAAGGGGGGCGCUUACCACGGCGGGGUUCGUGACUGGGGUGAAGUC